rnacentral:tRNA from 1 species
CCCUCUGUGGCUGAGUGGUUAAGAGCACUGACUCUCAACCCGGAGGCGUUGAGUUCGAAUCCCUACAGAGGCG